rnacentral:lncRNA from 1 species
GAAUAAAUAACCCAUCAUAUCAAUUCUUCCACAAUUAUAAUCCCAACCAUUAAAAUCCAAUUUAAAAGACUUAUUAAUAGCCUUAAAGUGGAAUAACCCAUCAUAUCCCUUCUUCCUAAGUUUAAGUUAACGCCGAACCAGACAACUUUUCACCUCCCUCUUUUUCACCACAUAUAUUUACAUCCUUAAAAAAAACCAGAGUAAGGGUUCAAAGAAGCUUUGUCACUAUCGAUUUCCUCUUGACUAACUUGAUUGCUGCCACAGUAAACCAGCUUCUUUCAUGGAUAUGAUACUUAAGAUGGAAACAUCUUUGAAUAGGUGAUGGAGGUGCACAUGUCGUUGCAAGGAUUUUAAAUGGAGAAAUGGAAACCAAUAAUCCCAUGUAUUUGCUUUAAGUAGGUGUUAUGUUUUAGGCUACCUAUAAAAGAAAAAAUCUAUGGAGUUGUCUAAAUUUGUAUUAGUCAAUUUUAUUUUAAGUACUUUCUUAAAAAAUAAAAGUUUAUUCUUUCCUUAUACAAGUGCCCUU